UGCUAAAUAGUCUAAGACGUGAAAAGCUACUAGGCUUACGGCAAGCGGAGCUGGAAAAUUAAACAUACCUAUACACUGUAUUACGACUACAAUAACUUUUUCAUGGUCGAGCAGCUGUGACAACUCGAAGUGAAGCCUUUAAGAUCCAAAAGACUUGCAACAGACGCAAUCGGUACCGUCAAAGCACACGAGAGUGGACGAAGGUGGUACGGGCGACUUCUCGGCUGGGUAAAUUUACGGAUCAGCGGUUAGGUCAAAGACAUCGUGAAUCUGGAUUGGGUAAAUGUAAUGUAGUUGAUAAAAUUAGAAAUACGACACUCAGGAGUGACCCUAAUCUUACGGAAGGUGAACUGCGGAAUCAGCUAGGAUCCAGAUUCCCCGCGGGCGCUUAAGACGUGCGGCAACGGAGACAGAACUACUAGUUUUCAAUUCUCGAUAAGGUGACAUAAAAAUAUCC